rnacentral:misc_RNA from 1 species
UUUCCGUAGGUGAACCUGCGGAAGGAUCAUUAGUGAUAUUGAAAAUCUAUUUUCAAGUCUCUAUAUAUACCCUUUUGUCAACCAUACCUUUGUUGCUUCCACCGGACAGACAUUCAUUUUAUGGAUGUCCUUUGGCAUGCUUGCAUGCUGGGGAGCGCCGGUGGAAAGACCUACAAAUUAAACUUGUCUUUAGAAACACUUGUCUGACAACUUUAUUCUUUAAUAAGAUAAAACUUUCAACAACGGAUCUCUAGGCUCUU